ACGUAGGGUGCGAGCGUUAAUCGGAAUUACUGGGCGUAAAGCGUGCGCAGGCGGUUUUUUAAGACAGAUGUGAAAUCCCCGGGCUUAACCUGGGAACUGCAUUUGUGACUGGAAGACUAGAGUGUAGCAGAGGGGGGUAGAAUUCCACGUGUAGCAGUGAAAUGCGUAGAUAUGUGGAGGAAUACCGAUGGCGAAGGCAGCCCCCUGGGCUAACACUGACGCUCAUGCACGAAAGCGUGGGGAGCAAACAGGAUUAGAUACCCUGGUAGUCCACGCCCUAAACGAUGUCAACUAGGUGUUGGGGAAGGAGACUUCUUUAGUACCGCAGCUAACGCGAUAAGUUGACCGCCUGGGGAGUACGGUCGCAAGAUUA
rnacentral:rRNA from 1 species